CCUUCGCAUCCGGUAAGAGAGUAUUUGACCCUAUAAGGUCAAACUAGGAUGGUGGUGGUGCUUAUUCAAAUCAGCAGAAGGGCAGUAACACCUGCUAAAAUACACUGACUCAUUCCAGGUUUCUGUAUAAGGAGGGUCACCUACUUUGGAAUGUCAUCUGUCCCUUAAACUCCUGUUCUUGGUCCUAAGGAUCAUUGUCUCGCUGAACUUGAAUGCAGGUCUCAUUUUCCCUUUCACUGAGUGACCUAAGGCAUAUCUCAUGCAGCCAGCCUGCUUCGUUCUCGUGGCUUUUUUUUUUUUUUUUGUCUUUUUGCCAUUUCUUGGGCCGCUCCCGUGGCAUAUGGAGGUUUCCAGGCUAGGGGUCGAAUCGGAGCUGUAGCCACUGGCCUACGCCAGAGCCACAGCAACGCAGGAUCCGAGCCGCGUCUGCAACCUACACCACAGCUCACGGCAACGUCGGAUCGUUAACCCACUGAGCAAGGCCAGGGACCCAACCCGCAACCUCAUGGUUCCUAGUCGGAUUCGUUAACCACUGCGCCACGACGGGAACUCCUCUCGUGGCUUUCUUGAGCAAUGGUUAACGUAGCUGUGAUCUCCCCAAGUUCCCUGGGCUUCCCUUCUAUCUUUUAUCCUCUGUUGGGGCUUCUCCAACUACCUGUGUAACUAUCCCCUCCAUCCCUACCAGCAGGUGCUUUUUCUGUCUGCCUUUUUUUUUUUUUGGCUCCAUGUUCUCUUUAUGAAAUUCCAUUUUGUUGUUGUUGUUGCAGGCACUUCUACUGUAUUCUCACUGCUGUGUAGAGAGACGAUAUGUGACGUGUUGGGGCUGGCUGGGGACGAUUUCGCUCCCCAGGGGACAUUUUGACAAUAUCCGGAGACAUUUUUGGUUUUCACAGCUUGGCCAGGAGGGGGCAAGGGGUGCUGUGGCAUGUAGAUAGAGAGUAGAGGCCAGGGGUGCUGCUAAACAUCUCACCAGCCACAGGACAGCCCCCACAACCAGGCAUCACCAGCCCCCCGAGACCAGUAGUGCCAAGCAGGAGAAAUUCUGCUGUGCAGCCACUUUGGUGGAUGCUUGGGUCUCUUAGGAAUACGACUGCAGUGAAGGGUGAGCCACGGGUCCUUUGAAAAUACGUGGGAAUGGAAUUGCUGGGUGGGAGGACGUGUCUGUGCUCAGCUGAGCACACAGCGCCAGCCUUCCAGAGUGGUCCUGAUUCAGUAAUGCGAGAGCGUUCCAGUUGCUCUGCCUCUGCACCUCCCGGCCCAGGAACUUCUGCAUGCCAUGGGCAUGGCAAAAAAAAUAAAUAAAAUUUUUUUUGUAUCCUUCUCUUCCACCCUUCUCCAUUUCAGCUACGACACACUAGAUACUCAAAACACCACUGUUUGACGGUAAAUAAUCCCAGUCUAUAUUCUGUGAAAGACGGAUUGUGCACAGGUGUGCGUACUGUGUCCAGGUAAUUAGAGAAUGCGUUCAGGGCGGGGUGACUUGCGACUAGGGUUUCUCUUAUUUAAAUAACUCGCACCAGGAGUUCCUACUGUGGCUCUGUGGGUUAAAAACCCAGCUGGUAUCCAUGAGGAUUUGGGUUCCAUCUCUGGCCUCACUCAGUGGUUAGGGUGCUGCUGUGAGCUGCGGUGUGGCUCAUAGAUGCGGCCCGGAUCCUUCAAUUGCUAUGGCUAUGGUGUAGACAGUCAACUGCAGCUCCAAUGUGACCCCUAGCCUGGGAACUUCCCUAUGCC
rnacentral:lncRNA from 1 species